rnacentral:misc_RNA from 1 species
AAGUCGUAACAAGGUCUCCGUUGGUGAACCAGCGGAGGGAUCAUUACAGAGUUGCAAAACUCCCACAAACCAUCGCGAAUCUUACCCGUACGGUUGCCUCGGCGCUGGCGGUUCGGAAGGCCCUCGGGCCCCCGGAUCCUCGGGUCUCCCGCUCGCGGGAGGCUGCCCGCCGGAGUGCCGAAACUAAACUCUUGAUAUUUUAUGUCUCUCUGAGUAAACUUUUAAAUAAGUCAAAACUUUCAACAACGGAUCUCUUGGUUCUG